rnacentral:tRNA from 1 species
GCCGGGGUAGCUCAGCUGGUUAGAGCGUCGGAAUCAUAAUCCGUAGGUCGGGGGUUCAAGUCCCUCCCCCGGUA